rnacentral:lncRNA from 1 species
AGACUAUCUUGCUUAGCACAAUCGGAAUUAUACUGUAGUUACAUGUUGAUAAUGUCCACAUUCAUUGACGUCAUGAGGACCUUGUAUGUCGUAUCUCUCAUCUGAGUAAGGCAAAGUACAAACUAAGAGAUAAAGUUUUUAAACCUCCAUGGAGUCCUUGAUUAAAAGAUAAUAACGACUCUGGGGAAGAGAGAGAAACUCCGGAAUUACUUUGUUGUCUUCAAAGCCCAAACCUCAGGAGAAAAAGUAAGACAAGUCACCUCUCAGGCCAAGAAGCCACAAAAAAGGAC